UACGUAGGGUGCGAGCGUUGUCCGGAAUUACUGGGCGUAAAGAGCUCGUAGGUGGUUUGUCGCGUUGUUCGUGAAAACUCACAACUCAAUUGUGGGCGUGCGGGCGAUACGGGCAGACUGGAGUACUGCAGGGGAGACUGGAAUUCCUGGUGUAGCGGUGGAAUGCGCAGAUAUCAGGAGGAACAUCAGUGGCGAAGGCGGCUACCUGGCCCAAUACUGACACUCAGGUGCGACAGCGUGGGGAGCAAACAGG
rnacentral:rRNA from 1 species